CUUUAGUCACGAUUUCUCGCAUAUAUCUCAUAACAUAACACCCACAUUCAACCAUUUCCACUUGUAAAGGACACUACAAUACAAAGUCAAUAAUUAAUAUAUAUCAUACAAAUACACUAAAUAAACAUCAUUCUAACCAUAAUUCAACUUUCAAUAAACACCCAAAAAAUUAACUAAUUCACUCUAGCACACAACGAAGAAAAGCGACAUUGUUUUAAUGACAUUGUUUAAUAAGUACCUAUCAACAAAGUACAUUACUUAUUAUAUAAUAGAGCUUUGAAGUAUAUUGUGUCCAUCCUCUUUUCUCAAAUUUAUAUUCGAGCUUUUCUGAUCGUUGGGAGGCUCUAAUGCCUUUCCUCACAAGAAUUUAGAACUACUCACUAUUUCUUAUCUGGCUGCACCAUUGUUGCUUACAAAAAGAAAGGUGAACAUGACUCUCUUUUCCAGAUGACACGCUUCAAAGUGAUUGGAUCAUUAAUUAUACACUGAUACGAACUGCCUCUUCAAAUCUUGAUGUUCACUUGCUAGAGUCGAUUGUUCAGCCCAUCCCUCAUUGGAACCUGUCUUCUCUUGCUGGGUUUCUUAAAGCUGCAAAGCUUCUAUUCCAAGAUUUUUGUUGCACUCCUCCAAUCGCUGAAAAAGUGAAAACUAUGCCACCCAAAUAACUAACUUUGGUAAAAAAAAAAAAAA